AACGCGAAGAACCUUACCUGGUCUUGACAUCCCAGGAAUCCUGCAGAGAUGCGGGAGUGCCGUAAGGAACCUGGAGACAGGUGCUGCAUGGCUGUCGUCAGCUCGUGUCGUGAGAUGUUGGGUUAAGUCCCGCAACGAGCGCAACCCUUAUCCCUAGUUGCCAUCGGGUCAAGCCGGGCACUCUAGUGAAACCGCCCAGGAUAACUGGGAGGAAGGUGGGGAUGACGUCAAGUCCUCAUGGCCUUUAUGUCCAGGGCUACACACGUGCUACAAUGGUCGGUACAAACCGUCGCAAACCCGCGAGGGGGAGCUAAUCGGAAAAAGCCGGCCUCAGUUCGGAUUGGAGUCUGCAACCCGACUCCAUGAAGCUGGAAUCGCUAGUAAUCGCGGAUCAGAACGCCGCGGUGAAUACGUUCCCGGGCCUUGUACACACCGCGCAUA
rnacentral:rRNA from 1 species